rnacentral:rRNA from 1 species
UACGGGGGGAGCAAGCGUUGUUCGGAUUUACUGGGCGUAAAGGGCGCGUAGGCGGUCAGCACAAGUCAGUUGUGAAAUCUCCGGGCUUAACUCGGAAAGGUCAACUGAUACUGUGCGACUAGAGUGCAGAAGGGGCAACUGGAAUUCUCGGUGUAGCGGUGAAAUGCGUAGAUAUCGAGAGGAACACCUGCGGCGAAGGCGGGUUGCUGGGCCGACACUGACGCUGACAGCGCGAAAGCUAGGGGAGCGAACGGG